CGGGAAGAGAUUCUUCAUCUGUUAAGAAAACAAAGAGAAGAGAGAAUAGAGAAAGAACUGGUUUCCCUUCUUCAUAAGCCAAAGGUCAAGAUACCUCAAACAAAGAAAGUACUCACGAAAUCAGAAAGAAAGGACCAAGAAGAAGUGAAGGCCUUGGGUCAGCUUGAUUGAUGGAGAUAAAUAAUCGAAGGACAUGAACAGGCCAUUUUUCAAAAGAAGAAAUGAACAUUAUGAACAACCUUAUGAAAAAAUGCUCCAAAUCACUGUAAGAGAAUUGCCAGUUGAAACAACUCUGAAGCCCAUAUCCACCAGAUUGACACAGAUAAGGAAAAAAGGGAAAUAGUAAUUGUUGCUGAAAAUCCAAGAAAGAGCUAGCAUUGGCUAUGUCCCUACAAAAAGCCUUCCUCCAAUUAAAGAAAUCAGAAGCCAAUUCUACUCAGCCUAUACAGUUCCUCUUGGUUCAGUCACCAAUCUCUUUAGCAAACAUCCCUCCCUCUACAACCUUUCAGCAUCUCUCUCCACAGAAUCCAAAGUACCAAAGAGGAGCCUAGCACAUGCCCUCUAGUAAAGAGACUCUGUGUGUGUGUAUGUAUAUAUAAAUGUGUGUAUAAAAUAUUAUAUAGAAUAACUAUAAGAUAAAUACAUGAUGUCAUAUAUUUAUCAUAUUCUAUAUAAUAUUAUACAUAUGUGUAUAAUAUAUUCUCCCUCAUGGAAUCAAAACACAUAUGCCCAGAACCAUAGGAAGUACUCUAUCCCACUUCCUCUAAACUUUGUAUAUAUUUUGUCCAUUAUUGUGUAUAUAUUGUCAAAAUAAAGCUACU